rnacentral:pre_miRNA from 1 species
AUUUUAUCCAUCGCUCACUGAGUAUUCUAUCAGGAGUCGAAAAAUGCGUUAAGUUAACUAACGUUUCGUCUCUUGAUGGUUUACUUAAUAAGCAAAGGAUUUUU